GGUCAAGCGAGCGAAAGCAUGUGGGGGAUGCCUGGGCACACAGAGGCGAUGAAGGCCGCGGUAAGCUGCGAUAAGCUCGGGGGAGUGGCACACACGCGGUGAUCCCGAGAUGGCCGAAUGGGGCAACCCGGCGGACCGUGAGGUCCGUCAUCACCGGCAACGGUGAAGCGAACGCUGGGAACUGAAACAUCUCAGUACCGGCAGGAAGAGAAAUCAAACGAGAUGCCCGGAGUAGCGGCGAGCGAAAGGGGCGGAGCCUAAACCAGUCUCCUUGUGGGACUGGGGUUGUAGGACCCACGGACGGAGCCAGUUAACGAGUCGAAGUCCCCUGGAACGGGGCGCCGUAGACGGUGACAGCCCGGUAGACGAAGAGCGCUGGCCCAGUGGAGUUCCUGAGUAACGCCCGACUCGAGAAAUCGGGCGUGAAGCUGGGGGGACCACCCUCCAAGGCUAAAGACUCCUGUGUGACCGAUAGUGGACGAGUACCGUGAGGGACAGGUGAAAAGCACCCCUGGGCGGGGAGUGAAAGAGAUCCUGAAACCACAUGCUUACAAGCGGUAGGAGGCGGGCCAGGGGGCAACCUUUGGCACUGCUGACUGCGUGCCUUUUGCAUUAUGAUCCGGCGAGUUACUCCUCAGGAGCGAGGCUAAGCGGCUCAGCCGCGGAGUCGGAGCGAAAGCGAGUCCUGCAACGAGGGCGCUUGAGUUCCUGGGGGUAGACCCGAAACCAGGGCGAUCUACCCAUGAGCAGGGUGAAGCUGAGGUAACACUUAGUGGAGGCCCGAACCGGUGUGGGUUGAAAACCGCUCGGAUGACUUGUGGGUAGGGGUGAAAGGCCAAUCAAGCCUGGAGAUAGCUGGUUCUCCCCGAAAUCUAUUGAGGUAGAGCCUCGAGGCGUGUAAGCAGGGGGUAGAGCGACUGGAUGGGCGCGGGCUGGCGAAGCUGGUACCAACCCCAACCAAACUCCGAAUACCUGUUUUAUGGACCUCGGGAGGCAGUCGCUGAGCGAUAAUGUCCAGCGGCGAGAGGGAAAGAACCCAGAGCCACAGCUAAGGUCCCGGAGUGGCCGCUGAGUAUAGCGAAGGAUGUGUUUCUGCCGUGACAACUGGGAGGUUGGCUUAGAAGCAGCCAUUCCUUGAAAGAGUGCGUAAUAGCUCACCAGUCCAGCGGGAAUGCGCCGAGAAUGGUCGGGAUUAAGCGGCCCACCGAAGCUUGGCCUUCGAACGUAAGUUCGAGGGGUAGGGGAGCGUUCCGCGUGCAGUGAAGGGGAGGUGGAAACCAAUCCCUGGAGCGAGCGGAAGUGAGGAUGCCGGAAUGAGUACGCGCAAACGGGUGUGAAAACCACCCGCACCGUAAGCCCAAGGGUUCCUGCGCCAUGGCAAUCAGCGCAGGGUGAGGCGGGUCCUAAGGCGAGGCCCCAGAGGCGUAGCCGAUGGCAAGCCGGUUAAGAUUCCGGCCCCGCGUGGGAAGUGUUGAUCGAUUCAGGGACCGUGGAACGAAGCAGCAGCGGCGUGGUGGAUUGCCGUUCAACCGCGUAGGUGUGUGUAAACACGCCGAGACGGGAGUACGAGGCGGCGGGGCAACCCAAAGCCAAGUGUUGUGGAGUCGACACGCGAGAAAAGCUGAAUCGGGAGCGACUCAUGCGUCCGUACCGUAAACCGACACAGGUGGGCGAGGCGAGCAGCCUCAGGUGCACGAGUGAGACGUGGUCAAGGAACUCGGCAUAAUGAUCCCGUAACUUCGGAAGAAGGGAUGCCCUUGCUGGUGACCCGUACAGGGAAGCUGGUGGGGGCCGCAGAGAAUCGGCCCAAGCGACUGUUUAGCAAAAACACAGGUGCGUGCCAAGCCGCGUAAGGCGCCGUAUACGCACUGACUCCUGCCCGGUGCCGGAAGGUUAAGGGGAGAGGUUAGCCGCAAGGCGAAGCCUUGAGCCGAAGCCCCGGUAAACGGCGGCCGUAACUAUAACGGUCCUAAGGUAGCGAAAUUCCUUGUCGGGUAAGUUCCGACCUGCACGAAUGGAGUAACGACUUGGGCACUGUCUCGACCACGCGCUCGGCGAAAUUGCAGUCUCGGUGAGGAUUCCGAGUCCCCGCGACAGGACAAAAAGACCCCAUGCACCUUUACUGUAGCUUGCCAUUGGACGUUGUCUCUAACUGUGUAGCAUAGGUGGGACCCGAUGAGCCCUGGGCGCUAGUUCAGGGGGAGGGGCCAGUGAAAUACCACCCUGGUAGAUACGACGUCCUCACCAGCCUGCGCAAACCGCAGGUGGGACCGUGGCAGGUGGGCAGUUUGACUGGGGCGGUCGCCUCCGAAAGAGUAACGGAGGCGCGCGAAGGUUGGCUCAGCGCGGUCGGUACUCGCGCUUCUAGAGUGUAACGGCACAAGCCAGCCUGACGGGGGAGACCGACGGGUCGACCCGCCACGAAAGUGGGCCGUAGUGAUCCGGUAGCCCGGGGUGGAACGGCUAUCGCGCAACGGAUAAAAGGUACGCUGGGGAUAACAGGCUUAUCGCGCCCGAGAGUUCACAUCGACGGCGCGGUUUGGCACCUCGAUGUCGGCUUGUCACAUCCUGGGGCUGGAGAAGGUCCCAAGGGUCCGGCUGUUCGCCGGUUAAAGUGGCACAUGAGCUGGGUUCAGAACGUCGUGAGACAGUUCGGUCUGUAUCCGUCGUGGGCGUUGGAGUGUUGAGGAAUGCGGACUCUAGUACGAGAGGACCGAGUCGGACGAUCCGCUCGUGUCCCGGUUGUCCCGCCAGGGGCAACGCCGGGUAGCGAUGAUCGGUGGCGAUAACCGCUGAAAGCAUCUAAGUGGGAAACGCCGUCCAAGAUGAACACUCCCUGGGGCCUUGAGCCCCCUGAAGGGCCGGAGGAGACGACUCCGUCAAUAGGCCGCCCGUGGACAUGGAGCAAUCCAUUCCGAGCGCAGCGGUCCUAAUCGCCCGUGCGGCUUGACUCA
rnacentral:rRNA from 1 species